AGUAUCUCAGAUGCAUUACUUUAGUUUAGGAAAGCCUUCUGAGAGGAAGUGAGAAUGAGACAGGAGAUGAUGAUGACCCAGAUAGUAUAGUAGGAGUGGUAAUGGAGUGAAGCAGGAUUUGAGAUGUUGUACUUAGAUUUUGUGGGAAAAAAAGAUGGACUAUUAAGAUGGACAGCAAAACAUCUGGGAUGGGUAGGGGGAGCUGUCAUGGAGGACAUCCGGGUUUCUUCCUUGAGCGCCUGGUGGUGCCAGACUCGGAAGAGGAUCGGGUGUGGGGAUUGAGGGGUGAGAAUGGAGGAAGAGUUUCAUUAGGCAGGGUGAGUUUGAGGAGCCCAUGGGACAUCUAAGUGGAAAUGUCCGCUGUAUUCAAAACUCUUCC